ACAACUUCAAUGGAAACAUAGAGGGAUAUAGGAAUUAAAUAACCAUAUAGUAUAAGUGCAGUGACCAGAUGCAAAAGGCCUGACAACUCAGGCUGUCUUGGAUCGACCACAUUAUUUACUUCGUUCAUAGGUUGCAUAUACCACCAGCUUGGCAAUUGAAAUUUUGCAUAUAUGGCAAACCCGAGUGAACUGACAAAUGAGAUCGAGAGAAGGACAGUAAAAAGGAGGUAAAUAAUCUUGUCCAUCUGUAGUUCGAUCCUAGCCGAUUGAACUGACAAAUGAGAUCGAGAGAAGGACAGUAAAAAGGAGGUAAAUAAUCUUGUCCAUCUGUAGUUCGAUCCUGCUCCUUUUAGAAGGAGACUUUGUAGAAUUCUGCAUAACUUUGCUAUCAUGACCAGUAAAUAUAGCAACUCCAUAAACAUAAGCUGUAUUCCUAAGCUUUGAAUCCCUGAGGAGAAUCUGACUCGGAUCAAGAGGAUAAACC
rnacentral:lncRNA from 1 species